rnacentral:rRNA from 1 species
GAUGAACGCUGGCGGCGGGCCUAAUACAUGCAAGUCGAGCGAAGAGGGGAGGGGUGAGUAACAUGUGGAUAACCUCCUAUAAGACUGGGAUAAAUUCGGGAAACCGGAGCCAAACCGGAAACUUAUCGCUGGAUCCGCGCUGCAUUAGCUAGUGGGUAAGGUAACGGCUUACCUAGGCAACGAUGCAUAGCAGAUCUGAGAGGGUGACCGGCCACACUGGAACUGAGACACGGUCCAGACUCCUACGGGAGGCAGCAGUAGGGAAUCUUGCGCAAUGGGCGCAAGCCUGACGCAGCAACGCCGCGUGAGUGAUGAAGGUCUUCGGAUCGUAAAACUCUGUUAGUAGGGAAGCGUUACCUAAUCAGAAAGCCACGGCUAACUACGUGCCAGCAGCCGCGGUAAUAC